rnacentral:rRNA from 1 species
CCUACGGGAGGCAGCAGUGGGGAAUAUUGCACAAUGGGCGCAAGCCUGAUGCAGCCAUGCCGCGUGUGUGAAGAAGGCCUUCGGGUUGUAAAGCACUUUCAGCGGGGAGGAAGGCGUUAAGGUUAAUAACCUUGGCUAUUGACGUUACCCGCAGAAGAAGCACCGGCUAACUCCGUGCCAGCAGCCGCGGUAAUACGGAGGGUGCAAGCGUUAAUCGGAAUUACUGGGCGUAAAGCGCACGCAGGCGGGCGGUCAAGUCGGAUGUGAAAUCCCCGGGCUCAACCUGGGAACUGCAUUCGAAGCUGGCAGGCUAGAGUCUUGUAGAGGGGGGUAGAAUUCCAGGUGUAGCGGUGAAAUGCGUAGAGAUCUGGAGGAAUACCGGUGGCGAAGGCGGCCCCCUGGACAAAGACUGACGCUCAGGUGCGAAAGCGUGGGGAGCAAACAGGAUUAGAUACCCCCGUAGUC